GGAAGGAUCAUUACUGAGUGAGGGUCUUUCUGGCCCGACCUCCAACCCUUUGUUUAUUAUACCAUGUUGCUUUGGCAGGCCUGCCUUUAGGGGCUGCCGGGGGCACUACUGCCCCUGACUCGUGCCUGCCAGGAGCCUUCUUAAAUUCUGUGUUUAACUGUGCGGUCUGAGUCCCGGUAACAAAAUAUACAAAACUUUCAACAACGGAUCUCUUGGUUCUGGCAUCGAUGAAGAACGCAGCGAAAUGCGAUAAGUAAUGCGAAUUGCAGAUUUCAGUGAGUCAUCGAAUCUUUGAACGCAUAUUGCGCCCUUUGGUAUUCCGAAGGGCAUGCCUGUUCGAGCGUCAUUAUCACCGUGUCAAGCUUGGCUUGUUGUUGGGCCCUUUGUCACCUGGUGACAGGUCCAAAAGAUAAUGACCGGUGUCGUAGCGACUCUAUAUGCAACGAGCUGAUCACAGCACGCAUCUGGCAGUCUUACGGCCCGGUCUUCACCCCUUUAUUUCUCAAGGUUGACCUCGGAUCAGGUAGGAAUACCCGCUGAACUUAAGCAUAUCAAUAAGCGGAGGAAAAGAAACCAACAGGGAUUACCCUAGUAACGGCGAGUGAAGCGGUAUCAGCUCAAAUUUAAAAUCCGACUCUCACGGGUCUGAGUUGUAAUUUGUAGAGGACGUUUCGGACAAGGCUGUGGUGUAAGUUUCUUGGAACAGAACGUCACAGAGGGUGAGAAUCCCGUCUAGCACCGACGGCCGCGUCCAUGUGAAACCCCUUCGACGAGUCGAGUUGUUUGGGAAUGCAGCUCAAAAUGGGUGGUAAAUUUCAUCUAAAGCUCAAUAUUGGCCAGAGACCGAUAGCGCACAAGUAGAGUGAUCGAAAGAUGAAAAGUACUUUGAAAAGAGAGUUAAACAGUAUGUGAAAUUGUUGAAAGGGAAGCGCUUGCAACCAGACUUGUGUGUGGCGGCUCCCCCGGUCUUCUGACCGGGUUAUUCUGUCAUAACCAGGCCAGCAUCGAUUUAGGUGGCCAGUUAAAGGCUCUGGGAAGGUAUCUACCUUCGGGUCGACUUACAGCCCAGGGUGUAAUGUGGUCUACUUGGAUCGAGGAACGCGCUUUUUGCCCGGAUGUUGGCGUAAUGGUUGCAAGCGGCCCGUCUUGAAACACGGACCAAGGAGUCUAACAUCUAUGCGAGUGUUAGGGUGUCAAACCCUGCCGCGUAAUGAACGUGAACGGAGGUAAGAACCCCGUCGAGGGGUGCAUUAUCGACCGAUCCUGAUGUCUUCGGAUGGAUUUGAGUAAGAGCAUAGCUGUUGGGACCCGAAAGAUGGUGAACUAUGCCUGAAUAGGGUGAAGCCAGAGGAAACUCUGGUGGAGGCUCGCAGCGGUUCUGACGUGCAAAUCGAUCGUCAAAUUUGGGUAUAGGGGUAAGUUUUUUUCAAUUUUAUUUGGAAGAGGCUUGCUUUGCAAACCUUUUUUUUGGCAGUUGUUUGGGGUGAUCAUGUACUAAUUCUUUUAUUAGGCGAAAGACUAAUCGAACCAUCUGGUAGCUGGUUCCUGU
rnacentral:misc_RNA from 1 species